CCUUAGAUGUUCUGGGCCGCACGCGCGCUACACUGACGGAGCCAGCGAGUACUUCCUUGUCCGAAAGGUCCGGGUAAUCUUGUUAAACUCCGUCGUGCUGGGGAUAGAGCAUUGCAAUUAUUGCUCUUCAACGAGGAAUCCCUAGUAAGCGCAAGUCAUCAGCUUGCGUUGAUUACGUCCCUGCCCUUUGUACACACCGCCCGUCGCUACUACCGAUUGAAUGGCUCAGUGAGGCGUCCGGACUGGCCCAGAGAGGUGGGCAACUACCACUCAGGGCCGGAAAGCUCUCCAAACUCGGUCAUUUAGAGGAAGUAAAAGUCGUAACAAGGUCUCCGUUGGUGAACCAGCGGAGGGAUCAUUA
rnacentral:rRNA from 1 species